ACGAACGAAGUUACUUGUCAGCUGUUUGCUGCUAAUCACUCUUCCAGGAGCCUUUCUCGGUUCAGUCAGCCUGUCAUCAACAGCUAAGCGUAGCACACCUAUUUGUUCAAAAAGAAAUGACGAAGCACUCUUUAACCAUGUUAACCGAUUUUCAAGUCUUUGUGAGUCUUUGGGUUUUGCAAGUCACAG